AAACCUCCGCAAAACCUUAUCAAAUAAAGCCCCCGGCGAUGGCGACGAUUGCAGCCGCCGUAGCGGCGGCUUCCUCCGCCUUCACCUCCCUCCACCUCACUCGCGCAACUCCCUACACGCGCCGCCACAUUCAUACUCUCAUCACAUCCUCACUCUCCUCUUCCUCCUCAACUGAAUUCAACAUCACCUUCGCUCCUCCAAAACCAAAACUCAAUAAACCAGAACCCUCACUUCCCAGAAACCCUAAUUCCAACUCGGACAUUGCCGAACUCGGUGAUCAACUCUAUAUCCCCUGGAUUGUUCGUGAUGAAAAAGGUAACCUCACUCUCCAAUCGACUCCUCCGGCGCGUCUACUCCACGACAUGGCUAAUGCUAGCACAAGUAAGAAGAAUAAUAAGAAGAGCAAACAGAUUGCUUCUAAAGCCGCGACGGUGGGUCCUACAGCUGAACCUAAGUAUUCAAAAGCGGC
rnacentral:lncRNA from 1 species